rnacentral:rRNA from 1 species
CACGUAGGGUGCGAGCGUUGUCCGGAAUUAUUGGGCGUAAAGAGCUCGUAGGCGGUGUGUCGCGUCGGCCGUGAAAACCUGCAGCUUAACUGUGGGCUUGCGGUCGAUACGGGCAUCACUGGAGUUCGGCAGGGGAGACUGGAAUUCCUGGUGUAGCGGUGAAAAUGCGCAGAUAUCAGGAGGAACACCGGUGGCGAAGGCGGGGUCUCUGGGCCGAUACUGACGCUGAGGAGCGAAAGCAUGGGGAGCAAACAGG